rnacentral:tRNA from 1 species
GGACAGAUAGCUCAGUUGGUUAGAGCAUCCCCCUGGGAUAAGGAAGGUCCCGAGUUCGACCCUCCAUCGGCCCA